UGGAUGGUUGUGCACGCA
rnacentral:misc_RNA from 1 species